AUUUGAGAAUUUUGAGGAUUAGGAUUUUGAUAAUUUUGCAUGUAAUUGAAAAAAGCUUGUUGAUAAUGAAAAUGAUUAGGAUCCAUUUGGCCUAAACAAUUGUAAUUUGAAGUAAAAAGAUGAAAUUUUGAAUUAAAUAUUUUGUAAAAAAAAUGCUAAUGAGAAAAAAUUGUUGUAAAAAAAUUAAAAGUAUAGGAAUAAAAUGAUGAAAUUGUGAGAGAGAAAUUUCAAAUUGAAGAGAAAAUAAAAGUGAGAGAAAUUUGUGUUGGUAAAAUUUUGGAAACCAAAAUUAUAUUUAUAAUAAAAAAUAUAUUAAAAUAAAUAAAUAAAAAAAAAUAAGUAGCCGUUUGAUGCUACUUUCUAAAUAAAAAAUAAAUAAAAAAAGGAAGUAGCCGUUGCAUGGCACAUGCUACUUUUUAAAUAAAAAAAUAGAAGAAAAAAGAAGGAACCGUUGCUUCAUGAAGCACCGGUCUUGCCAAUAUGGC
rnacentral:lncRNA from 1 species